AACGCUAGCUACAGGCUUAACACAUGCAAGUCGAGGGGAAACGACAUCGAAAGCUUGCUUUUGAUGGGCGUCGACCGGCGCACGGGUGAGUAACGCGUAUCCAACCUGCCCACCACUUGGGGAUAACCUUGCGAAAGUAAGACUAAUACCCAAUGAUAUCUCUAGAAGGCAUCUGAAAGAGAUUAAAGAUUUAUCGGUGAUGGAUGGGGAUGCGUCUGAUUAGCUUGUUGGCGGGGUAACGGCCCACCAAGGCAACGAUCAGUAGGGGUUCUGAGAGGAAGGUCCCCCACAUUGGAACUGAGACACGGUCCAAACUCCUACGGGAGGCAGCAGUGAGGAAUAUUGGUCAAUGGGCGAGAGCCUGAACCAGCCAAGUAGCGUGCAGGAUGACGGCCCUAUGGGUUGUAAACUGCUUUUAUACAGGAAUAAAGUUAGCCACGUGUGGUUAUUUGUAGGUACUGUAUGAAUAAGGACCGGCUAAUUCCGUGCCAGCAGCCGCGGUAAUACGGAAGGUCCAGGCGUUAUCCGGAUUUAUUGGGUUUAAAGGGAGCGUAGGCCGUCUGUUAAGCGUGUUGUGAAAUGUAGAUGCUCAACAUCUGAAUUGCAGCGCGAACUGGCAGACUUGAGUGUGCGCAACGUAGGCGGAAUUCGUGGUGUAGCGGUGAAAUGCUUAGAUAUCACGAAGAACUCCGAUUG
rnacentral:rRNA from 1 species